AUUGAACGCUGGCGGCAUGCUUUACACAUGCAAGUCGAACGGUAACAGGUUAAGCUGACGAGUGGCGAACGGGUGAGUAAUGCAUCGGAACGUGCCCGGUCGUGGGGGAUAACGCAGCGAAAGCUGCGCUAAUACCGCAUACGAUCUGAGGAUGAAAGCGGGGGACCGUAAGGCCUCGCGCGAUCGGAGCGGCCGAUGUCAGAUUAGGUAGUUGGUGGGGUAAAGGCUCACCAAGCCGACGAUCUGUAGCUGGUCUGAGAGGACGACCAGCCACACUGGACCUGAGACACGGCCCAGACUCCUACGGGGGGCAGCAGUGGGGAGUUUUGGACAAUGGGCGCAAGCCUGAUCCAGCAAUGCCGCGUGCAGGAAGAAGGCCUUCGGGUUGUAAACUGCUUUUGUACGGAGCGAAAAGGCUCUCUCUAAUACAGGGGGCUCAUGACGGUACCGUAAGAAUAAGCACCGGCUAACUACGUGCCAGCCGCCGCCGUAA
rnacentral:rRNA from 1 species